rnacentral:rRNA from 1 species
GACGAACGCUGGCGGCGUGCUUAACACAUGCAAGUCGAACGGAAAGGCCCUGCUUGCCGGGUACUCGAGUGGCGAACGGGUGAGUAACACGUGGGUGAUCUGCCCUGCACUUCGGGAUAAGCCUGGGAAACUGGGUCUAAUACCGGAUAGGAGCCAUUUUUAGUGUGAUGGUUGGAAAGUUUUUUCGGUGUAGGAUGAGCUCGCGGCCUAUCAGCUUGUUGGUGGGGUAAUGGCCUACCAAGGCGGCGACGGGUAGCCGGCCUGCGAGGGUGGACGGCCACAUGUGGACUGAGACACGGCCCAGACUCCGUCGGGAGGCAGCAGUGGGCAAUAUUGCACAAUGGGCGCAAGCCUGAUGCAGCGACGCCGCGGGGGGGAUGACGGCCUUCGGGUUGGAAACUCCUUUCGCUAGGGACGAAGCUUUUUGUGACGGUACCUAGAUAAGAAGCACCGGCUAACUACGUG